GAUGAAGAACGUAGCGAAAUGCGAUAAGUAAUGUGAAUUGCAGAAUUCAGUGAAUCAUCGAAUCUUUGAACGCACAUUGCGCCCACUGGUAUUCCGGAGGGCAUGCCUGUUCGAGCGUCAUUAUAACCACUCAAGCUCUCGCUUGGUAUUGGGGCUCGCGGUUCCGCGGCCCCUAAAAUCAGUGGCGGUGCCUGUCGGCUCUACGCGUAGUAAUACUCCUCGCGAUUGAGUCCGGUAGGUCUACUUGCCAGCAACCCCCAAUUUUUACAGGUUGACCUCGGAUCAGGUAGGGAUACCCGCUGAACUUAAGCAUAUCAAUAGCGGAGGA
rnacentral:misc_RNA from 1 species